rnacentral:rRNA from 1 species
UACAGAGGUCCCGAGCGUUGUUCGGAUUCACUGGGCGUAAAGGGUGCGCAGGUGGGUUUGCAAGUUUGAUGUGAAAGCCCCGGGCUUAACCCGGGAAUGGCAUUGAAUACUGCAGAUCUGGAGGAUUGGAGGGGGACUGGAAUUCUUGGUGUAGCAGUGAAAUGCGUAGAUAUCAAGAGGAACACCAGUGGCGAAGGCGGCAUUCUGGACCAAUAUUGACGCUGAGGAGCGAAAGCCAGGGGAGCAAACGGG